UAGCUCAGGGUUUAGGAGUACACAAACUUACCCCCUCUGGAAGCAUGUUACAAGAUGGGACUUUCCUGGCUUCAACUUCUUCUGCAAUGGUCUCCACAGACCCCACAGCCAAGUGAAGAAGAUCUUUGCAUGAACACGACCUUUCAGCUGGUGAAUCAGAUGACCAGAAAAAUUCCCCACAUCAGUUUUCUUUAUGGAGUGACCUACACACCAAGAAGAGCCGCUCAGCUCUCAAAACUGCUGUCAUGUAGAUACCUACGUGGAUAAACAAGUAAUGUUUCCACAAAACACUGCAGGUUAGGGCCUCUGCUCAUGGCAGGAUAGAGAAGGCAAAAUAAAGAGGGGGCUUUGGACUGUUGGUUUUGCGUCAUGUAAGCUUUUUUAGUGACCUUUAAUGGGGAGAGAGACUAGAUGCUGAGUUUAAUCACGUAAGACCAGCUCAAGACAAACGGCACAGUUUUGUUUCCUGUCUGGAAAGAAAAAAAAAAUUACUCAUGCACUAGCAGGAACUGAACGCUGAACACUCCUUUGGUGCUAGAUUUAUUGGAGGAUUUGACGACAAGAAUUUGCUUGUAGUUUUCCACCUUCCCUGUGCUAUUUUCUUAGCCAGUCAUUUUGAAUACUCCCCUUCCCCAUCUUUAUCCCCCAACCAUUCCUGUUCUUAAGCCAAAUAAAAAGAAAACAUCACUGAAAUAAAGACCCACGGUUCUGCUUUGACACACCAUGACCACAUUUUUAUACUAUUAUGAGGUAGGGUAUUUUUUUUUUUCUAUUUGUCAGUCUCUGUGGAUAAAAGACUCCAUCUUCCAUAAAGAAUCCCCACCAGAAAUCUUUCUAAGCCCUCAAUCAGAGAGACACUCUGCCAUCGUGCUGAGCAAAAGCUAAUCUAAUUAAGACAGGAUCUGCUAAAUUUAAUAGCCUGCUAUGAAUUUUUACAGACAUCUGGUAGCUGGAAGUUGGAACAGCUCUCACAUAUAAAAUUCACAUUGUCCAGAUAACCAAUAUCGGGGUCAAAUAUUUUCUUUCUUUGGGGAACUUACAUUGUUUUGGUAGGAACGCUAUUUUCAAAUCGUGAUAUCCUACAGGUAAAUGCACUGGAAAGAAGAUUGAGGAUUGAAACUUCAAAUCUCAGCUUUCCAUCUGCACAGUAAAGACAAAGAUGCUUCCAUUGUCCGGUUUUAUGGAGAAAUCUGAAAACGUACACACAGGGCUGGCUUCACGGGUGGCGCCCAGCGUUAGCAAGUCCUUGCCUGGUGCGAGGCGCUGCUCUCCUGUCUUGAAAUUCUUAAUUUUUGAACAAGGACACCUGCAUUUUUUAUUUCCCACCAGAGCGCACAAAUUAUGUAGCCACUCCUGUGUAUAUGAAACUCUUUGCUUGAUGCCAGUUCCAUAGCAGACACAAAAUAAUUAGAAUGUUCUCCUCCCCAUCAUACCCUUCAACUUAAAAUUAUGAAAUCCAAGCUAGUAGCUUUUCUUUUGCUUCUGAGCAGGACAACCUCUUGACUGAUGGUCUCAUCUAAGAACCCCUACUACCACCUCCACCAACGAUAGUCAUAUCUAUUUGUAUAAAAUGAAAUUACAGUAAUCAAAAAAAGUUAAAUUGUAUAUAUGCCUAUAUGGUUGUAUGUGCAAAAAUUGCCAGUUAUUACAAAAACUGAUACUGAUUAUCUCUGAGGCAGAGAACUGAUAACAGAAAUUGGGCUCUGGAAAGGGACAUAUUUUUUACUUCAUUUGUCCUUCUUUUUGUCUUGUUUUGUUUUACCGUAUGUGUGUUCUGCCCUUGAAAAAAUAAAACAAAACCUAAUUUUGUUUGACUUAGAUCCCAAUAAUCCUAACUACACAGAUAUAUAAAUAUACAUUCACUCUUAACUGUUCUUUGAAGAGGGAAAUCUAAGUAAGGCAUAGCUUCCUCAAAAUCCAACCAAUUGUCCCCAGUUCUAGAAGCAUGAGUUACUUAUUGAGGUUGGUGGAGAUUUCCUCCAUCCACCUUAUGUUCCAUGGUCCACCCCAGAGGGAAAGAGAAGAAAGGGGUGUCAGUGUUCUUUUGGUAGAAAUAUCACCCCACAAAAUUUCCUGCACCUCAGAAAGCUUGUACACCCAUGGGAAACUUUCCUGCCACCUGAAAACAAAGAGAAGCAGAGCAGCCCAUUAAAAAUGUAUGUUCUCACAACAUUUUGCCCUGGGACAGCGGAAAACCAUAGCAUCUAAUAGGCUUUGAAGUGAAAAGUGCAAUUCCUGUGAAAUGAGAUUUUUCCAAAGUAUCUGAUGAAGCAGCUCCUUGCCCCCCAACCACGACUGAAGCACAGCAUGAAUGACCUUGGGCAAUGACAAACAAUAUCACACCCCCAGCAAUCAGCCUGGAUAAUUACCAUAUUUAAUAAUUAAGCAUGUGGUCUAAAUUUGUGUUCAGCAUUUCUGUUGAAAUCUGGGGGGCAUCCACGGGUGACUUGUGUAUGAGGGUUAGGUUGACUAGCCCGCUCUCAAAAUUCGAGUGAAAUAAAUCUUCCACUUCUUUUCAUCCUAAGAGUUCCAGCCUCCCACAAUAGAACCCAAGAUAGCUACUAAGAACAGAAACAAGAUUCCUCCAGUAUUGUUUUAUUCUAUUGCUCUGGGGCAGCUAGGUAUUUAAAACAAACAAGAAAACACAUAAAAAAAGAGAGGGGCUACUCGCUCUGUUGUAGAAGAGUUACGCAUUGUCUUUUUUUUUUUUUUUUUUUUUGAGUUAUGUAUUUUCUGACUCUUCUGUCUGAAAUGUAGGAUAUUCAAAUAUAAGAUAUUCAGUUCUUUUACUACUCAAUCUCUUGUUGCUUCUCUGCUGUGGUCUGUGGGGGACCAGACACAAUCUGUGUACCCUAGAAAACACCUGUAGGAGGGGAAAGAAGACCUUGUCCAAGGAUACACCAAUGACAGUCAGUGGGUAUUGGAAAAUAAAGAUACAAGUCAACCCUGGCUUCUCCCAGUCCUUCCCAGCUGUAGUCCCAGCACUUUUGCAAUUCUGGUUUCCCAAAAAAUCCCAUCCAGGGCAUAAACUAUAUGUGUUGUUGUAGCUGGCACGUUCUGGAGUUAAGCUGAGCUCUCAUAAAUGUGAUUGUUUGUGUGUCUGGGUGACACCUGGCAAUGUGGAACUAUUUUAUGCUUCACUUGGCUUAACAUUUGCUUUUCCUCCCCAGCAGUGCCUAGAACAUAGAGGGACAGAAUAGCUAUUUGUUAAAGCAAUAAAUUGAGAGGGAGAUUGGUAUCAUUCCCUUGAGUGCUAAGAGGUCCAAGGUACUUUUAACUCUAAGCCCCAACUUUUUUAUCCUGCCCUUUACUCCUGCUUGUUAGAAUAGAGGUGUUAACUGCUUUCUUAGCUUCCUCAUAAAGAGACACAUUUUAAUUGGUUUAGGCCAAGAGUCAUAGCAUUAACGGAGAAGCGCAUGAACUCCAGAGGCCCAAAUUUUCUGGAGUAGUAUCCCUGAACACCACUUACUUGCUGUGUGACCUUGAACAAGAUACUUAGCCUUUCUGUGCUUCAGUUCCCUCAUCCGUAAAAUGGACAUAAUACAAGUUCCAAUAUCAUACAAUUGCAGUAAGGAUAAAGUAGUUAAUAUUUUAAAGUGCUUAGAAUGAUGCUAGUACAUAACAAGUGCCAUAUAAAUGUCUAUGAAAUAAAUCAAAUGUUAUUUCUAAGGAAGGGUAAUACUAACUCAUAGAUGGAAAAUACAAUUCAGCGCAAGAGUGAACUUAUAUUCAUUGGCAGGAGAUAUCUGAAACCGUGUGAGGAAGGAGUCCAAACCCACAAUUGGGCUGCAGUGAAAAGUAGAACCCGGUGAUUGAUGAAUGUCUGCCGUGGAUUCUCACAGAGGAAAUGGAAAGACAUGUGCCCUGUUUCUGCUAUUGCUGUUAUGCAUAUGAUUUUUGCAACCUAACAUAUUCCAAGAACCCAAGGAAAUGGGUCACAAGACUAGAAAGCUUGAAUAAAUAUUUUUGAGAACACUUAUGUGGCAGAUAUUAUUCUAAGUGUCAAAAUAAAACGAUUAAUAAGGCAGCCACUGCUUUCAAGGUAUUUACAGACCAGAAGGAGACAUGGAUUGGCAAAUUCUCAGAUAAAUACUGUGUUCAGUGAUGGAGUGUAAACAUAGAACUUUGAGAGCACAAAGAGGUGGCAACUAACAUACUCCAGUGUGGGACAGAGACAAAAGAAUCUUAGGGAGACCCCACUUUCUCAUAUGAAAGAUCAUGUACUACUCCAAUUUCCCUCAUGUUGUAUACAACUAUACAAAUGUACAAAAUAUAUGAAACAGUGUUUUUCAGGCAUUAAACAACAAUCAGCAUGGAACUGUGAUCCCCGAGAGAAGAAAAACAAACAAGGUGAUUUUUGCAAGUAUUCUAACCUAACAUCUGCAAGCAGAUCCAGGUCAAAGCACUAGGAGGAGCCUGGUUGUAUUUUGGAGUGGAGGAGAUAGACAUUGGAGUCAAAAAAGGCCAAAGCAGCUAGAAUUUUAGGUCCAAGUAUGAGUAAAAAGGGAGCUUGACAGGGAGAAAGCUAAGGUCUGCAAAGGGCCACCUUGAGUCUGCGGCUGAAUACUUCUGUGCUCACAAAUUGUAAAAUACAUUCAAGUAUGUAAAAGAAAACAUAAGCAUGACAAGGAGAAAAAGAGAAGAUACAUACAAAGUAUACAAAUUUAAAUUCUAAUGAUAAAGUAAAUUAUCUGAACUCAAAAUUACUUGGGACUGGUUAAUAUACAUCUUUAACUUAUCAGAGUUUACCUUCAAAUAAUAUCACACCAUUUCAUGUACAGUGUACGAAUCUUGCAAGAGUAUACUUCUAACCCCUCAUCUUUGUGUAUUGUUACUAUAUACUGCUACAUAGAUAAUAAACUCCACUAUUCAUUGCUAUUUUUUUCUUUUAGGAAUCAAUUAUCUUUUAAAAGAUAAGAAAAGAAAUGCCUUUUAUAUUUACACACGUAUUUAUUAUUUGGGGUACUAAUUAUUCCUUUUUGUGGGUCCAUAUAACCAUCUGGCAUAAUUUGCCUUAUGCUUAGAUAAGUGUUUGUUUUUCUUAGCAUUUCUUUUAAUGCUUGUAUUCAGUGAUGAAUUAUCUCAGAUUUUGUCUUAAAGUCUGUAUUUUGCCUUCAUUUUCAAGAGGUAUUUUCUCUGGAUAUAAAAUUCUGUGUUGACAUAUUUGACUCCCAUCACUUUAAAGAUGUCUUUCCAUUGUUUAAUGGCCUGCAUAGUUUCAAGUGAGAAAUAUGCUGCCAUUCUUUUUUUUUUUUGUUUCUCUGUACAAAAUGUCUUUUCUCUCUGACUGCUUUUUAAAAUGUCUCAUCAUAUGUGUUCAGAAAAUUUAUUAUGAUAUGCCCUUUUGUGCUUUUUCUUUUUAAUAUUUCUUCUUCUUAGGAUCCAUUGACCUUCCUGGAUCUGUGGAUUUUUGGUUUUCAUCAAUUAAAAUAAAUUUUCAGGCCUUUCCUUUCAAAUAUUUUUUCUUCACUCCCUACAUCCCACACUUACAGUUUGGUCUUUUUGGUCUUUUUUUUCCUCUGUGUGUUUACUGUCAAUAGUUUCUAUUGGAGAGGGAGGAGCCAAGAUGGCCGAAUAGGAACAGCUCCGGUCUA
rnacentral:lncRNA from 1 species